GUGGGUAUAGUUUAACAAAAAUAUUAGAUUGUGAUUCUAGAGACAGGGGUUAGAAUCCCCUUACCCGCC
rnacentral:tRNA from 1 species